rnacentral:rRNA from 1 species
GUGCCAGCCGCCGCGGUAAUUCCAGCUCCAAUAGCGUAUAUUAAAGUUGUUGCAGUUAAAAAGCUCGUAGUUGAACCUUGGGCCUGGCUGGCCGGCCCGCCUCACCGCGUCUACUGGUCCGGCCGUACCUUUCCUUCUGGGGAACCUCAUGCCCUUCACUGGGCGUGUUGGGGAACCAGGACUUUUACUUUGAAAAAAUUAGAGUGUUCAAAGCAGUCCUUUGCUCGAAUACAUUAGCAUGGAAUAAUAGAAUAGGACGUGUGGUUCUAUUUUGUUGGUUUCUAGGACCGCCGUAAUGAUUAGGAGGGAUAGGCGGGGGCAUCAGUAUUCAAUCGGCGGAGGAGAUAUUCUUGGAUUGAUUGAAGACUAACUACUGCGAAUUUUUUUGCGAAAGGAUGUUUUCAUUAAUCAGUGAACGAUAGUUAGGGGAUCGAAGACGAUCAGAUACCGUCGUAGUCUUAACCAUAAUCUAUGCCGACUAGGGAGCGGACGGGUGUUAGUAUUUUGACUCGCUCGGCAUCAUACGAGAAAUCAUAUUUUGUGUGUGCUGGGGGGGAGUAUGCUCGCAAGGCUCUAUCAUAAAGAAUUUGAGGGAAGGGCACCGCCAGGCGUGGAGCCUGCUUUUUUAUUUUCACUCAACGCGGAGCACCUUCAGCAGGGCCAAGACAAAGAGAGGGAAUGACAGAGUGGCGACUCUCUUCUUUGAUGUGGGGGGGGGCGGUGCCAUGCCCCUUUCUUAGGUGGGAGAAGUGAUCUGCUUGCUUAAAUAGCGAAAAACGAACCGAUUACCUCUAACCUAGAUAAAUAGCCAGGCUCUGCUGUGGGCGGGCUCGUCGGCUUCUGUAAGAGGGUAUCAUCGGCUCGAGGCAGAA